rnacentral:misc_RNA from 1 species
CGCGAUUGCGUCGCGCAUCUCAUGAUAUUUGAGAAUCGGUCCGGCGAGCAGUUUGGGAAAGAACAGCACGAACAGGCAGUAGUCUGAAAACCGCUCCGCCGGUUUCGAGACGCCGCGGUAGGUAUCCACGAGAUAGGUGAUCUUCUCGAACACGACGAAAGACACGCCGAUCGGCAGCGCGAUGUGAAGCNAGCCGCAAACGGCGACAGGAUGAGGUUGAUAUUCGUCGCAAGAAAAUCGGCAUAUUUGUAG